UGCUAGAGGCUGUUGCUUAAACUCAAAGUUGUAAGCUUGCAUGCCCACGACAGGAAACAAGUGAGCUUAACCUGAUCCCUGGUUAAGUGAGUUAAACACCUGAUCCCUGCCUGUCCUUUGCUUUCCUACUUUUCAACCAUCCACAGCGCGGUAAUGAAGAUACGUGUCUCUUAUCACCAAGGAAAAAGAACAAAUAUAGUUAAUGUGCAGGGCCCUAAGUAGCAGAGCCUACAGGAUCUCCGAUGUUUCCAUAGGGCAUUUCAGUCCUUGCUAAGGGCUGGGUCAGUCACAACCCCUGGAAAACUCGCCCUGGGAAGCACGCUGCUACCCUGUCACCAGCAGUUAAAAGGGCCACCGGCGGGGAGCCCUCGGCCCCAGUUACGUGCUUGCAUGUGUUCUGGCACUGCAGAGGAUUUUUUAUUUUUAAAAUGGAAAAAUAUGGGAAGAUUGAAGAGAAAUUUGAUCAAAGCUCAGGAGCUCUACAAUAAAUAGAGUUCACCUCUGAAGUGUUCUGUGAACUUGAAUCCCUUCUGCAACCUGGUAUCGCCAACCCAGCAACCCACAGAACCCCGAAGACCAGGCCCUGAAUCAUCCAGACGGUCCCAGCCUGCUGAGUCCACGUGCUGUGCCAGCUGCAGCAGAGGGUGCAUCAUGGAACAUUUCAAGUGUCAACUACACUUCCCCACCAGGCAUCCUAGUCUUGAACUGCUUGGCUGGCCUCCAGGUGCAGGCUGGCCACACAGCUGAACAGUCUUCCUGGAGC